rnacentral:rRNA from 1 species
AUUGAACGCUGGCGGCAGGCCUAACACAUGCAAGUCGAGCGGAGCGGCGGACGGGUGCGUAAUGCAUAGGAAUCUGCCUGGUAGUGGGGGAUAACGUCCGGAAACGGGCGCUAAUACCGCAUACUAUCAGAUGAGCCUAGGUCGGAUUAGCUCGUUGGUGGGGUAAAGGCCUACCAAGGCGACGAUCCGUAACUGGUCUGCUUGGAGGAGCAGUCACACUGGAACUGAGACACGGUCCAGACUCCUACGGGAGGCAGCAGUGGGGAAUAUUGGACAAUGGGCGAAAGCCUGAUGCAGCCAGGCCGCGUGUGUGAAGAAGGUCUUCGGAUUGUAAAGCACUUUAAGUUGGGAGGCGUUACCAACAGAAUAAGCACCGGCUAACUUCGUGCCAGCAGCCGCGGUAAUUC